AGACUUGCAUGCAUUAAUUUUGUUCCUAAAUUUUAUACUAACUUCUUUUCUAAGUGUUUUUAUUUUGUAGGUAAAGCUUAUGGGAGACGAGAGGAUCCGCGAAUAUCCUUCGAACUCGAAGGAUAUCCCAUAACAGGGAGUAUCUCCUACUUUUUCCUUUAAUUUACGCUUUUCAUUUAUUUUAUUUCUUGCAUAUCCCGGGACUUGCAUGUAUUAAUUUUGUUCCUAAAUUUUAUACUAACUUGUUUUUUAAGUGUUUUUAUUUUGUAGGUAAAAGCUUAU